CACGUAGGGCGCAAGCGUUGUCCGGAAUUAUUGGGCGUAAAGAGCUCGUAGGCGGUUUGUUACGUCUGCUGUGAAAACCCGGGGCUUAACCCUGGGCUUGCAGUGGAUACGGGCAGACUAGAGGCAGGUAGGGGAGAAUGGAAUUCCCGGUGUAGCGGUGAAAUGCGCAGAUAUCGGGAGGAACACCGGUGGCGAAGGCGGUUCUCUGGGCCUGACCUGACGCUGAGGAGCGAAAGCGUGGGGAGCGAACAGG
rnacentral:rRNA from 1 species